CUACGGGACGCAGCAGUAGGGAAUCUUCCACAAUGGGCGAAAGCCUGAUGGAGCAACGCCGCGUGGGUGAAGAAGGUCUUCGGAUCGUAAAACCCUGUUGUUAGAGAAGAAAGUGCGUGAGAGUAACUGUUCACGUUUCGACGGUAUCUAACCAGAAAGCCACGGCUAACUACGUGCCAGCAGCCGCGGUAAUACGUAGGUGGUAAGCGUUAUCCGGAUUUAUUGGGCGUAAAGGGAACGGAGGCGGUCUUUUAAGUCUGAUGGGAAAGACUUCGGCUUAACCGGAGGAGGGCAUUGGAAACUGG
rnacentral:rRNA from 1 species